rnacentral:rRNA from 1 species
UACAGAGGUCCCAAGCGUUGUUCGGAUUCAUUGGGCGUAAAGGGUGUGUAGGCGGCGCCGUAAGUCAGACGUGAAAUCCCUCGGCUUAACCGGGGAACUGCGUCUGAUACUGGUUGGCUUGAAUCCGGGAGAGGGAUGUGGAAUUCCAGGUGUAGCGGUGAAAUGCGUAGAUAUCUGGAGGAACACCGGUGGCGAAGGCGGCAUCCUGGACCGGUAUUGACGCUGAGGAGCGAAAGCCAGGGGAGCAAACGGG